rnacentral:rRNA from 1 species
CCUACGGGCGGUAGCAGUGAGGAAUAUUGGUCAAUGGACGCAAGUCUGAACCAGCCAUGCCGCGUGCAGGAAGACGGCUCUAUGAUUUGUAAACUGCUUUUGUACGAGGGUAAACGCAGAUACGCGUAUCUUUCUGAAAGUAUCGUACGAAUAAGGAUCGGCUAACUCUGUGCCAGCAGCCGCGGUAAUACGGAGGAUUCAAGCGUUAUCCGGAAUUAUUGGGGUUAAAGGGUGCGUAGGCGGUCGGGUAAGUUAGAGGUGAAAUCCCGAGGCUCAACUUCGGAAUUGCCUCUGAUACUGUUAGGCUAGAGAGUAGUUGAGGUAGGCGGAAUGUAUGGUGUAGCGGUGAAAUGCGUAGAGAUCA